AUUGAACGCUGGCGGCAGGCCUAACACAUGCAAGUCGGACGGUAGCACAGAGAGCUUGCUCUCGGGUGACGAGUGGCGGACGGGUGAGUAAUGUCUGGGGAUCUGCCCGAUAGAGGGGGAUAACCACUGGAAACGGUGGCUAAUACCGCAUAACGUCGCAAGACCAAAGAGGGGGACCUUCGGGCCUCUCACUACCGGAUGAACCCAGAUGGGAUUAGCUAGGAGGCCGGGUAACGGCCCACCUAGGCGACGAUCCCUAGCUGGUCUGAGAGGAUGACCAGCCACACUGGAACUGAGACACGGUCCAGACUCCUACGGGAGGCAGCAGUGGGGAAUAUUGCACAAUGGGCGCAAGCCUGAUGCAGCCAUGCCGCGUGUAUGAAGAAGGCCUUCGGGUUGUAAAGUACUUUCAGCGGGGAGGAAGGCGAUGUGGUUAAUAACCGCGUCGAUUGACGUUACCCGCAGAAGAAGCACCGGCUAACUCCGUGCCAGCCGCCGCCGUAA
rnacentral:rRNA from 1 species